rnacentral:rRNA from 1 species
CCUACGGGUGGCAGCAGUGAGGAAUAUUGGUCAAUGGACGAGAGUCUGAACCAGCCAAGUAGCGUGAAGGAUGACUGCCCUAUGGGUUGUAAACUUUUUUUAUAUGGGAAUAAAACGUUCCACGUGUGGGAUUUUGUAUGUACCAUAUGAAUAAGGAUCGGCUAACUCCGUGCCAGCAGCCGCGGUAAUACGGAGGAUCCGAGCGUUAUCCGGAUUUAUUGGGUUUAAGGGGAGCGUAGGUGGAUUGUUAAGUCAGUUGUGAAAGUUUACGGCUCAACCGUGAAAUUGCAGUUGAAACUGGCAGUCUUGAGUGCAGUAGAGGUAAGCGGAAUUCGUGGUGUAGCGGUGAAAUGCUUAGAUAUCACGAAGAACUCCAGUUGCGAAGGCAGUUCACUGGACUGCAACUGACACCGAGGCUCGAAAGUGUGGGUAUCAAACAGGAUUAGAUACCCGUGUAGUC